rnacentral:tRNA from 1 species
UGGCUUAGUUGGUAGAGCAUGGUGGUGGCAACACCAGGGUUGUGGGUUCAAUUCCCAC